AUCAACGCUGGCGGCGUGCCUAACACAUGCAAGUCGAACGAGCAAGUGGGAGCAAUCCCAUGAGUACAGUGGCGAACGGGUGAGUAACACGUGACUAACCUACCUUCCAGUGGGGGAUAACCUCGGGAAACCGGGGCUAAGACCGCAUAAACUCGCGAGGUGAGAAUCCUAGUGAGCAAGGGGGUAAGACGCUGGUAGAGGGGGUCGCGGCCGAUUAGCUAGUUGGCGGGGUAACGGCCCACCAAGGCGAUGAUCGGUAGCCGGCCUGAGAGGACGAACGGCCACACUGGAACUGAGACACGGUCCAGACUCCUACGGGAGGCAGCAGUGGGGAAUUUUGCACAAUGGGGGAAACCCUGAUGCAGCAACGCCGCGUGGAGGAUGAAGUCCCUUGGGAUGUAAACUCCUUUCGACCGGGACGAUAAUGACGGUACCGGUGGAAGAAGCCCCGGCUAACUCCGU
rnacentral:rRNA from 1 species